rnacentral:lncRNA from 10 species
CUAUUUUCCUUUAAUAAACUUCAGCACGGACACAAAUUCGCCCAACAUGUAAAAGUGCAAUUCCGAAAGGAUCCUGCUAGAACAAGGUCCACGGUACAAAAGCAUCCUAUGGUUAUGUAACUGCAGCGGCCACCAAGCGUCCCCCUCUGGGCUCUGGAGGGUUUCGGCCCUGCCUGCCUCCCCCCCUCCUCCUGGGGCAGCUGGGACAGGGGACCCCUGUUUGAAGACAGCGGGGACAACGGCCCGGGAGGCAGCUGAAUUGCCCAUUGUGAGGCCCUUCUUCCUUGGCACUGCCUGAACCCCGUAGCCCACUCCGGCUGCCCGGGCUCUUCUGCCUUCUCCUGGCACCAGCCUCCGGGCCCGGGCCAGCUGCUAGGAGAGCGAGAACACUGUUUCUGAAGGGUGCUGCUUGCUUCUUUGUUCCCGGUUUCCGAAGCGCGAAUCCCGAACGCCGUGAGAAACCUCAGGCUCGGGCGGCAGCGCGGGAGUCUGGGGCGCUGGAGGCCGGCGCCGGCUGCGGAGGAGGAGCGCCCUCUAGCGGCAGGUCCGCCCAGGGAGAGGCGGAAACGCGGAGUCUGAUUCGAAGGCGGGCACUGGGGACCCUGCCCCGGGCCGAAAGCCCCCUGGAGGACAGUGGUGUUUGGCUUCGGUCCCAACAUACAGGCCCUGGGCAGUCGCAGGGAUGGCAGCUUUCAAACUGAAACCCAAGAAGUGAUCAUGCAGACCCUGCCUCAAGUGGCAUCACUUCUUAAUUGAAAAGAGGCCGAGGCGAGGCGGGAAUGAAGGCCACGCUGAAGCCCUGCAGAACAGGGGUGUGUGUGUGUGUGUGUGUGUGUGUGUGUGUGUGUGUGUGUGUGUACAUGUGUGUAAGCACCACGUGAGGCAAGCAGGGACCCCAAAUCCACUGCUAGGGGAGAUGCCACAGUGCCCUGCCAUGGCACCACUGCUCGUGCCAAGCCUGCCCCAUCGACACCGGCCCCACCCAAGGCAAAACCAAGCAGACCCAAACCAGUAACAACUUAUCCCCUUAGCCAGAGAGCACCUCCACACAAGUCUAUCCUGAGUCCUAAAAGAGGAUGGAAAAAUCUCAAGUAAAAAUCUCAUGCCUGUAAUCCCAGCACUUUGGGAGGCCAAGGCAGGCGGAUCACUUGAAGUCGGGAGUUCGGGACCAGCCUAGCCAACAUGGUGAAACCCCAUCUCUACUAAAAAUACAAAAAUUAGCCCGGCAUGGUGGUGGGUGCCUAUAACCCCAGCUACUUGGAAGGCUGAGGCAGGAGAACCGCUUGAACCAGGGAGGCGGAGGUUGCAGUGAGCGGAGAUGGUGCCAUUGCACUCCAGCCUAGGGGACUGAGCAAGACUGUGUCUGGAAAAACAAAAAUCUCC